UGGGGAAUAUUGCACAAUGGGCGCAAGCCUGAUGCAGCCAUGCCGCGUGUGUGAAGAAGGCCUUCGGGUUGUAAAGCACUUUCAGCGAGGAGGAAGGUGGUGAGCUUAAUACGCUCAUCAAUUGACGUUACUCGCAGAAGAAGCACCGGCUAACUCCGUGCCAGCAGCCGCGGUAAUACGGAGGGUGCAAGCGUUAAUCGGAAUUACUGGGCGUAAAGCGCACGCAGGCGGUUUGUUAAGUCAGAUGUGAAAUCCCCGGGCUCAACCUGGGAACUGCAUUUGAAACUGGCAAGCUAGAGUCUCGUAGAGGGGGGUAGAAUUCCAGGUGUAGCGGUGAAAUGCGUAGAGAUCUGGAGGAAUACCGGUGGCGAAGGCGGCCCCCUGGACGAAGACUGACGCUCAGGUGCGAAAGCGUGGGGCAGCAAACAGGAUUAGAUACCCUGGUAGUCCAGCGCUGUAAACGAUGUCGAUUUGGAGGUUGUGCCCUUGAGGCGUGGCUUCCGGAGCUAACGCGUUAAAGUCGACCGCCUGGGGAGUACGGCCGCAAGGUUAAAACUCAAAUGAAUUGACGGGGUCAUAGCUGUUUCCU
rnacentral:rRNA from 1 species